rnacentral:rRNA from 2 species
CAUAGGUUAAUGAGGCGAACCGGGGGAACUGAAACAUCUAAGUACCCCGAGGAAAAGAAAUCAACCGAGAUUCCCCCAGUAGCGGCGAGCGAACGGGGAGGAGCCCAGAGCCUGAAUCAGCAUGUGUGUUAGUGGAAGCGUCUGGAAAGGCGCGCGAUACAGGGUGACAGCCCCGUACACAAAAGCGCAUGUGCUGUGAGCUCGAUGAGUAGGGCGGGACACGUGGUAUCCUGUCUGAAUAUGGGGGGACCAUCCUCCAAGGCUAAAUACUCCUGACUGACCGAUAGUGAACCAGUACCGUGAGGGAAAGGCGAAAAGAACCCCGGCGAGGGGAGUGAAAAAGAACCUGAAACCGUGUACGUACAAGCAGUGGGAGCACCCUUUGGGGUGUGACUGCGUACCUUUUGUAUAAUGGGUCAGCGACUUAU